rnacentral:rRNA from 1 species
UACGGAAGGUGCAAGCGUUGCUCGGAAUCACUGGGCGUAAAGGGUGCGUAGGCGGCCGUGCAAGUCUGGCGUGAAAGCCCCGGGCUCAGCCCGGGAAGUGCGCUCGAAACUGCGCGGCUCGAGUGCCGGAGGGGAGAGUGGAAUUCCCGGUGUAGCGGUGAAAUGCGCAGAUAUCGGGAGGAACACCAGUAGCGAAGGCGGCUCUCUGGGCCGUGACUGACGCUGAGGAGCGAAAGCGUGGGGAGCGAACAGG